rnacentral:rRNA from 1 species
AGAGUUUGAUCAUGGCUCAGAUUGAACGCUGGCGGCAGGCCUAACACAUGCAAGUCGAACGGUAACAGAAAGCAGCUUGCUGCUUUGCUGACGAGUGGCGGACGGGUGAGUAAUGUCUGGGAAACUGCCCGAUGGAGGGGGAUAACUACUGGAAACGGUAGCUAAUACCGCAUAACGUCGCAAGACCAAAGAGGGGGACCUUCGGGCCUCUUGCCAUCGGAUGUGCCCAGAUGGGAUUAGCCAGUAGGUGGGGUAAAGGCUCACCUAGGCGACGAUCCCUAGCUGGUCUGAGAGGAUGACCAGCCACACUGGAACUGAGACACGGUCCAGACUCCUACGGGAGGCAGCAGUGGGGAAUAUUGCACAAUGGGCGCAAGCCUGAUGCAGCCAUGCCGCGUGUAUGAAGAAGGCCUUCGGGUUGUAAAGUACUUUCAGCGGGGAGGAAGGGAGUAAAGUUAAUACCUUUGCUCAUUGACGUUACCCGCAGAAGAAGCACCGGCUAACUCCGUGCCAGCAGCCGCGGUAAUACGGAGGGUGCAAGCGUUAAUCGGAAUUACUGGGCGUAAAGCGCACGCAGGCGGUUUGUUAAGUCAGAUGUGAAAAUCCCCGGGCUCAACCUGGGAACUGCAUCUGAUACUGGCAAGCUUGAGUCUCGUAGAGGGGGGUAGAAUUCCAGGUGUAGCGGUGAAAUGCGUAGAGAUCUGGAGGAAUACCGGUGGCCAAGGCGGCCCCCUGGACCAAAACUGACGCUCAGGUGCGAAACACAGAGAACAACAGGAUUAGAUACCCUGGUAUCCACG